rnacentral:rRNA from 1 species
UACGUAGGGUGCGAGCGUUAAUCGGAAUUACUGGGCGUAAAGCGUGCGCAGGCGGUUCGUUGUGUCGGCGGUGAAAGCCCCGGGCUCAACCUGGGAAUGGCCGUUGAAACUGGCGAACUGGAGUGUGGCAGAGGGGGGUGGAAUUCCGCGUGUAGCAGUGAAAUGCGUAGAGAUGCGGAGGAACACCGGUGGCGAAGGCGGCGACCUGGUCCGGGACUGACGCUGAGGCGCGAAAGCGUGGGGAGCAAACAGG